rnacentral:rRNA from 1 species
UACGGAGGGUGCGAGCGUUAUCCGGAAUUACUGGGUUUAAAGGGUGCGUAGGCGGCUUGGUAAGUCGGGAGUGAAAGUUUGCGGCUCAACCGUAAAAUUGCUUUUGAUACUGCCAGGCUAGAAUCAGGAUGAGGUCAGCGGAAUGUGGCAUGUAGCGGUGAAAUGCAUAGAUAUGCCAUAGAACACCCAUUGCGAAGGCAGCUGGCUAGACCUGGAUUGACGCUGAGGCACGAAAGCGUGGGGAGCGAACAGG